UAAAACGGCGGUCCCCAUACGAUCACCGAAGUUAAGCAACAUCGAACCGGGUCAGUACCUAGAUGGGUGACUUCUUGGGAAUGCCAGAUGCU